rnacentral:rRNA from 1 species
GGCGUAGGCGGUAAAAGAAGUCAUCUGUGAAAACCUAUUGCUCAACGAUAGGCUAGCGGAUGAAACUGAAUUACUUGAGGGCACCAGAGGUAGACGGAAUUACCUGAGUAGGGGUGAAAUCCGCAGAUACGGGUAGGAACGCCGGUGGAGAAGUCGGUCUACUGGGGUGCACCAGACGCUGAGGCCCGAAAGCUAGGGGAGCAAACC